rnacentral:rRNA from 1 species
GUGAUCUCUUUAAACGGCCGCGGUAUCCUAACCGUGCAAAGGUAGCAUAAUCAUUUGUUCCUUAAAUAGGGACUAGAAUGAACGGUCAAAUGAGGACUAAACUGUCUCUUAUGCUAAACCAAUAAACUUGAUCUUUCAGUUCAAAAGCUGAAAUAAAACCAUAAGACGAGAAGACCCUGUGGAGCUUUUAAACCAACCUACAAACCUCAUGUAUCCUAGGUUUUUAGUUGGGGCGACUUUGGAGCACAAAUAACCCUCCAACCAUGGAACCUAUUUCUAGACAUACACGUCAACAAACCCCAUCCAGACCCAGUAGUUUACCCAAAUUAUCUGAUCUAUGAACCAAGUUACCCCAGGGAUAACAGCGCUAUCUUCUUCUAGAGUCCCUAUCGACAAGAAGGUUUACGACCUCGAUGUUGGAUCAGGACACCCCUAUAGUGCAACCGCUAUAAAAGGUUCGUUUGUUCAACGAUUAAAGUCCUACGUGAU